AUGCCUAACCAGUCGGACACAUUGGAUGGUGGUGGCGAUGAGGCGGAGGAUGCGAUGGACAGGGGCAAAUCUGUUGUCUUGGAGGAGGAUCAGUCUGAAGAUGUCUCUUGCAGCCCUGAGAUCCAGAGUAAGGUUCCAGUCCCUCCUCCUUCUCACGGCAUGAAGAAGGGGGGUCACAAGGGUCCGGUCAUCCCUCCUGAGAAGCUCAAACAAUUGGCGGGGCUGCGAUCAGAACUGCUUAAGGAGGAGAAAACGCUGUUGGCCGAUUUUCGAAGACGGAAGGAGAGAGCACUGGAGGAGCAUGAGAGGACCGAAGGUGACUCGUUGCCGUGGACGCCGAGCGUGGAAUAUGUAUCAGUUGUGAGUGCUAUUUUGGAUGACCUCGAGCGAAACAGAGAGAAACAGAAGGAGGUCAAUCCUGUUUUUUUCGAAGCCAUGGAAGCCUGGUCGGCUGAAGUGGGGCGGAAGAAGAGGACCAAGUUGCGGAGGGGCAGCGGCAAAUCCCUCUUGGAGGAACCAGUUCUUUCUUGCGGCUCUCUGAUCCAGAGUGAGGUUCCAGGUCCUCCUUCCCCUCCUCCUUUACAACAGCAGAGGCAACCAUCUGUGUAUGACUGCCAUGAGAUUUAUCCGGAAGGUGCCCAUGAGGAUGAGGUGACAACCAUGGAGGUGCAUUUCAAAAAUUUGGACUUGUCUGGAACCAAAUUAGACGACGGGGAAAAGGUUGAGGCCAGGACGCAGCAGUCUGAAGUUAUUUCUAGUCGACCUGACAUCCAGAGUAAGGUUCCUCCUCGUCGCAGUAAGAAGGGAAAAUCCUUCGUGGAGAAGCAGUUGAUUGGUCCAUUGCCUUGUGAGACUGAGAUGCAAUCUCAACAACUUCCCCGCGGGCCUGAUACCAAGAUGCAGUCUCGUGGCAGUAAGAAGGGGAACCGCGGGGGUCAUAAGAAGGGGAAGCGCGGAGAUUGUGCUGCGGCUCCAUCUGCAAGGCCCCAACACCAUGCAGCCAUGGAUCUGAAGCAGGUCCAAGGCUCCAAUGAAUCCAAACUGUGCCCAUGUGAUCAUGAUAUGAAGAUGGAGAUGGACAGAGGCAAAUCGGCCCUGGAAAUAGCCAAAGAGGAGGAGAUGGCCUUUGAGGCCAACAGCUUUGCCUCGUACCGUACAAGCUGGGAAUCUAACUGGGGAGCGUGUGGCCGCGCGUUCUUCGAAGACACGACGACCGUGAGUCCCAUGCACUUUACCCACUGCACACCUGGAUGCGACCCAGGAGAUGCCGCCAUCGCUGGGGCCACCCUGCAGAUCUUCACCAUCAAGCUCGAGGAGUUAAAAGGCGGCCUUGAGUGGCCAUUGUCUGUGUAUGGGGUGGUUGCCGCUCGAGACUGCGUGGAUCACAGCCGCAACCUCCUCUUCUCUUGCGAUAGGUGGAGGUCGCAGAAGCUCAGUCAGGACGAUCCUUUUUUGCGCUUAAUUGGCCCGUCUCGUGCCAUUGUGUUUACUGAUGAUGUUUACUUUGAAACCGAGCUAAGAGUGAAAGGCAAAACAUUGUCUCAAGAUAUAGCAUUGAUUAGUGGGAGGCGCCAUUACAGCGGAGGACAUACCAUUUCCUUCAGCAACUGCUUCUGCAGAAUAGAGUUAUGCAUGGAGCGAAUUCAUGAAACUGUCCAGGCCACUAUAUUGGGUGUCUGUGUCAAAAAUGGACCAUGGCCUUUCGAUUACGGUGGUAAAGUGGCUUGCCUCUCACCACCGCGGACAUAUAAGGUCACUGAUGGUAAAGUCUUUUAUACUACUCAUGCCCCAUCCAUGGAAAUUGUGAUGCUUGCUUCACGCGGUAGAACAAUGCCUAAGGGUUCAUAUGGUUACCUUCGUCUAUCAAGGCAUGUAGUUUCUGUAGAAUUGGAAGGAAGCCUGAAUGUUGUCAUACAAGCCUACUCAGAAUCUGGUGAUAUCACCGCACAAGGUGAGGUUUGCUUCACGCCCAAAGCUUGCAAUAUAAGUCAGGAGACAUGUUUCUUGGGUGACCGUGACCCUAAGGUGGAAGUGGAGAUUACUGUCGCUUGGUCUCUUCUUGUUUCGAACAGGCGUCAUUUGAUGAUGAAUGGAAUGGACUUUGACGAAUUGAAAGAAGCGGUCAGUGGGAUGGGGGUUUGA
rnacentral:rRNA from 1 species